CCUCUCGCCUGUGAAGAAAAAGCAACCACGACAGCGUAAGUGUGAGCCUACUGGUUCCUUUACAGCAGCUUCCCGCCUCCCCUUCCUCUUACUUAAAGCCACCCAGUGUUCAUGUUCUGUUCAGUAAAGCAAAGAGAGUCGCUCAGCCACGGCAACAUAAGGAGACACAUUUUAGUUUCAACAUGUGAAGAAAGCACAACUUUUACUUCUCUUAUUUAUGUAUGAAACAUUCAAAAGCCUAAAAAUCGACUAAAACAAAAAGUUUAGAUGAGACGAGCCUGUGAGACAGGCUGACUCUGUGGUUUGGAGGCAGAGAGACAAAGACAAUCUCUCCUUUUGGAGACAAAGGAAGAUGAAAAUAUUCACAUGAAACAGUUUGGUUUCACUCCCACACCCAUCUGCCCAUCAACUGACUAUUCUUCAACUUGACAUCAUCUUUCUACACAGACAAGAGGAAGGAGAAGAGGAGGAUAACACAGAGCAAGAAGCAGAGGUGGGAAGCGAACAGAGACGGCAGCAGAGGAGGUGGGCAGAACAACGUUGAGGGGGAGAAAAGUGACAGCAGCUGAAACUUGGCUACCAGUGAGAUGAAAUUUGUGGAGGAGACACUGGAGCGCAGCAGGAGACGACGUCCAACGAGAACUCUGAAAUCGGAAAGCCGGGAAAACGAGUCAGCCCUCCCUGGAUCCGGUGCACCUCCUGAGCCGAAGGAUGAGAGGGGUAGACUUUCAACGUAAUUGCCAGGGAUGUGUGUGCACUACAGGAAGGCGUCCCCCUCCAGCAUGUCCAAUGCUACGAUACUCCUGAUGCUUUGUAAGAUUGGUCCGAGACAAAAACUGAAGACUUUUGCAGGGAAAAUGGUAAACGCUGUCUGCAGUGAUGAGGAAAGGGGAAUUCAAGACAAGGAAAGUAAGGAGGAGAGCAUCUUGGCCAUGCUGGGCAUCAUCGGGACUAUCCUCAACCUGGUCGUCAUCAUCUUUGUCUACAUCUACACAACACUGUAGGCUUCAAACUGCAACAGGUGGAGCAUGCCUGAGCCUGUUUCAGCUACUGCAUUCUGGCUGAUGUGGAAAGAAAGAUGAGAGGAGUCAGAACUUUAUGCAGAUUAUGCUGCAUCACUCCGAACAGGUGAAGCUGCAGAAAACUGCAUUUUUGCUAUGCUCUUUGGAGUAAGAAUCAUUCAGAGGACUCAUUAAAAAGUACAUGAAAUGAAGAAGGAACACAGCUUUUUCCAUCUUCUGGGCCUAAAAGACUACAGUGCCAGUGUUAACACUUUUGGAUAAAUUACAUUCAGCUACAAACAGAAUAAUGUCUGAUAUUUUUGGGAAAGCAGGUGUAAAGAUUUCUGCACCAAAGGGCACACAUAAUACACAUUAUGCAUUGUUUUCAUCUCUCUUUAAAUGCUUUUAUGUAAAACAUUUCAACUCAACUUAUAUAAAAUGUAUAAUAUUAAAAAAACAGCAGAUUGACUGAAAUGAGUUUGAUUUACACUAAUAUGAGUCGUUUAUUGAAUCAUUUACUGAGAAACUUCCUUUGAAUGGAAGCUGAAGGUGGAUCAUGCUGAAAUGCAUCCAUGAUGAAUGCGCCCAGCUUUGCGCUUGACAAAAGCUGAAGAAAGAUGAAACACAGCUAGAGACAUUUGUAGGAAACAGCAUGAUUAUCAUAUAUUAUUCAAGGCAUUUAUGCAUCUCUUUGACCUGUAAAGGUUUUCUAUAUUUGGAUAAAGUCCAUCCAUAUACAUGAAAAACGUCUCAGGAGGACGUAGCUUCAGAUUUUAUAUCGAGUCAGAAAUGUUGGGCAGCAUGGGCGAAUCAGACAUGAUAGAUGAGUUUCUAUGAUCAUGUUUAAUUCACUGCAAACUGUUUUCACAUAAGUGUACAUAGAUAUUAUCUUUGGAAGCCAAAAUAUUAAUCAUUUAUUAGCAAUUAAUUUUAGUUUAUGCAUUGCUGAUCUGUAAUAACUGUUUGCUUUAAAACCUGAGGUAAUGGCUGCCUAAAUGGCUGUAAAAUGAUCUGCUUAUUUAAGGUUGGCUGUUUAUUUUACUAGGGUAAUUUUACUUAAAAUAUCAUUUGAACGUUAAUUUAAAUCAAGUGUCAAAAAACCUACAAAACAUUUAUAUUGAGUCUUGUUAAUUUUGAUUGAUUUUCAAACUUGGACCAAAAUAUGGAUUGAAACAUUUCCAGUUUUCACGUUAGGUCUAUCGGGUAAGAACGCUGUCAAAAACAAUGUGUAUGUAAAGACGGAAAUGUGUGCAUAAUAUUAGUCAUGGGAUGAAUAAAUCCUACAUAAUCAGCAUAUGGGAUCUGGUGACAUCUAGUGGUAAAGUUGCAGAUUGCAACCAAUUCAUAAAUAAAACUUCUAUGCCAUUCAGGGCCACUAAAACCAACAUUUUAUUUUGCAGCUCUGCUAAAAAAUCCAUCAAAAUGUUAAAAUGCUAAAUGAUAAAAUACACUUUAAAAUCAACUCCGUCUGGAAAAAAGCAAACCUAUUGAAGUUCUGUUUGGUUUUAAAAGAUUAGAAUCCCUUUAGCCUUGAAGAAACAUUUCAUGGUUAUGUUUAGGAACUGGUACUUGGUUGAGGUCAGUAGUCAGAAAGUUUAGAAACUGAGUGCGCAACGUGAGAUGAAAUGUUUUAUUACAAUUUAUUCCGAUUUAAAUGCUCUUAUAACUGCAAAUACUAAAUAUGCAAUACGGGUUUGACCGAAGAUUCAGAGAAAUUUGCUUUGGUUGCUUCUGCUUCUGGAAGGAACAUGUCAGUUUUAAGAUUUUAUUUUUACUGAAUCAACACUGAGGUUCUGCUAAAGAGCUUCUAUUAACAAGCACAAAGAGAGGAAUGUAACCAUGAGUCCACAUCGCUCUCAUCUGUCCAAACAGGAGGAAUCCUUAUGCUGCUUUUUGGCUCCAGCUUAACCUUUAUGCUCGGGCUUUCCUGAGCUUGGUUCUGACUGAGUUUCUGAUGCUUCUGCAACAGCAGCUGAUUUUAUACAGUUUUGUACAAGUUUUUAAAUUUGUCAGCAAGUAGAAAAUGUGUCAAAUUCACUAGUUGUAUUUUAUUUGAACCAGGACUUUAAAUGAGAACAUGUCUUGAGCUACUAUUAAGAAUCAGUUUUCUUAGUCUUUAUGCCAUACAAAAUAACUGGCUUCUGGCUGCAACUUUACUCUUAGCACUAAAAUAUGACAUCAAUACCAAAAAUAACAAGUAAAUUCCAAAAAUGAUUUGAAGAUGCAUCUCUUUAGAAUGCUGUUUCCAUGCAUUAAGUGGAAGAAAAAAAUGUGUUAGAGAAUGUUGCAUAGGUAACAUGGAUAACCUGUGCCUUGAGAAGAAUCUGAUGAGGCCUGGACUGCAGCUGAAGUCAAAAUUUCAGGAGCCACAACACGACAUCUUCAUGACAUGGACUACAAAAGUCACAUUUCUCGUUUAAAACUGUUCCUGAACGUGAGAAAACAUCAGAAGCUUCUUUUCUGUGCUAAGGAGAAAAGGACUAGACAGUUGCUUAGUGGUCCGAGAUCGUCUUUUCAUUUGAACAUACAUUUUGGUCCCAGAGUCUGGAGGAAGAGUCGAGAGGCACAGAGCCAUGUUAUCUGCUAGUGCUGGUCCACUUCGUUCUAUCAAGUCCAAAGUCAGAGCAGCCAUCUAGCAGGAAAUGUUAGAGAACUUCGUGCUUCCCUCUGCUGACAAGCUUUAUGGAGAUGCUGAUUUCAUUUUCCAGCAGGACUUGGUACCAGCCCACACUGGCAAAGGUACCGAUACCUGCUUUAUUACCGUGGUAACACAAGCAAACUUGCCUGACAUGAACACUAUAGAGUCUCUGUGGGCUGUUGUCAAGAGGAAGAUGAGAGACAUCAGAACCAACAAGGCAGACAAGCUAAAGGCCGCCAUCAAAGCAACACCUCAGCAGAACCACUGGCUGAUCUCCUCCAAACUGUGCUGCACUGAUGCAGUAAUUCAUCCAAAAGGAGCCCUGGCCAAAUACUGAGUGCAGAUGAAGUAGGACUACAUUUCUGUUUUAAACUGUUUUAUAUUGUGAUGUAAAAUUAUAAUAUUCUAAGGCACAGAAUGUAUGGGUUGUCAUCAACAGUUUGAACACAUUAAACACAUAAUAUGGCGCAGAAUGAAUCUGUAUAAUAUGAGUCUUCCUCUAGACUCUAGACUUUGAUUUCCAUAUAAAAUUCAAAAUUUACUUUUACAUCUAUUUACAUCUGGAAAGAGGACUUUGGACCUCUGAGCAGCAGUCUAGUUCUUUUUCUACUUAGAUCAGGUAAGAGGCUUCCGAUGAUGUUUCUGGUUCGGGUGGCUUGACAUGAGGAAUGCAACAGUUGUAGCUCAUGCUCUGGAUAUAUUGUUUGUGCACCUUUUUCUAUAACAUUGUUUCCUUCCACUUGACUUUCCAUUGAAAUCCUUAGAUGUUCUAAAAUUGAUCACUUUGUGAGUACUCUACGUUAUGCACAAUUUAUCUCUAAAGUCAAUAUAUGUGUUUGACUUUGUGAAUUGAAAUACUGACAUGAAUAAUUGAAUUAAUUGCUAUGAAGAAAGAAGCUACAUGAGCUGAGAGCAUGAAAACAUGUCUGCUGAGAGCAGGCUUCAGUGUGUGAAAGUGUGUUAUCAACAGCAACCCUGUGUUUUCAGAAAGUGCCUGAGAUAAUGUUUCCUCAACAUGACCGUUGAAGAGAAAGAAACAGACGAACACAAACACAAAGGGACUGAACAUCUGCUGAAACACAUGCAUCCUGAUCUACUCUGCUGCGUUCACAUUGACUCUGGAUUUCUGCAACAAGGCUCAUUUACUAAAGCCAGACAUUUUGCUGCAGUGCUCCUAGAUGUUGUAAAGAAUGAAAAGGACAAAAACUAAGUUUAAUGAGCACAUGGAAAAGUCUCAUGAAUGUAUUCAUAUCUGAUGUACAUUUUGAUUAUUCAUGUUUUGUUUAUCUUUCCUAAAGCACUGUAAUCUGAAUUCUUAUUUAUUCUAUGUAUGCGCAAGCAAACCUUAUUAAACUCAUUGUAUAGACUGCUGUAGGUGAGACAUGAUGCCUGGAAAGGUUUUCUGUCUGCAUUUCAUUACAAAAUCAAAUAAACAUGCUUUAAUUGAUUUUUA